UACGGAGGGUGCAAGCGUUAUCCGGAAUCAUUGGGUUUAAAGGGUCCGCAGGCGGUCAUAUAAGUCAGUGGUGAAAGCCUACAGCUCAACUGUAGAACUGCCAUUGAUACUGUAUGACUUGAAUUCGAUCGAAGUGGGCGGAAUAUGACAUGUAGCGGUGAAAUGCUUAGAUAUGUCAUAGAACACCGAUAGCGAAGGCAGCUCACUAGGUCUGGAUUGACGCUCAGGGACGAAAGCGUGGGGAGCAAACAGGAUUAGAUACCCUCGUAGUCC
rnacentral:rRNA from 1 species